ACAGGUGAGCGGCCUGCUGGGUAGUUGGCUCUCUGACGGAGUGGUUUAGCGGCUGGCGGACUAGCUCGCUAACGGACAGACUCUUGGUCAGGAUGAGCCGCUCGUUUCCCCGUUUGGGUUUCAGAGUGAAGCAGCAGACGAAGCAGAAACGGAGACGCUUCGUCUGAAACGGGAAGAACUGGAACUUCUUCGUUAGGAAACUGAGUUUGUUCUGUUUUAAAAACGUUUCUUCUAAACCAUUUUCAGGAACAGGAAGUGGGGACAGCGACGGGAUACUUGGAGUCACAGAAGAUCCAUUCAGCGAAACACGUGAACGGAGAGUCCAAACACAAAAACAGAGAAAACAACUUCAGCGAUUCCACGAUGGAGAAAUGAACUCAUAGAAUACUAUGAAACAAUAACCAACAGAAACACCAGAGCUGACGAGGAGACGUUUCAUUUUCAAAUGAAAGUCGCAGUAAACACACGUGUCAAACAUUAAAUCAAGUCUCUGCCAGCAGACAGCAGAGCAGCUUCUUGAGAAUUGAGCCGUCUGCUUACAUAAGAGCGCCGUCCUGCUCGUGAGCCCCCGUCCCAGGAAGCCUGUACACACAGACCCCCCGGCUCUCCUUGGGACGCCGGAGUCUGGUUGGCUGAGCAUCCAGAGCCAUAUUUCUUCAACUGGGAGGUUCUUCGCUCAGCCUGUCAGGAAAUCAGCCUUUGAGGGAAGGGGGGGUUGAAGCCUCGUGGUGGGGGCGAGGAGGUAAAGUGGAGGAUUCUCUCCGAUGGGAAGGACAUCCGGCAGCUCCAUGGAUCCGACUCCUGGUGUCGUGUGACUGUAGCGGUCACUGAGACCAGAGGAAGUGUGGUUCACGGUUUAGUUCUCUGAUGAAGCUCGCUGUCCUGCUGUGGUGGAGCGGUCCACCGGCGGACGGCAGAAACCCUGAACUCUCCUCCUGCAGUCACAGAGGCUGAUGGGAUUUCUAUAAUCAAUUUACCAAAGCAGGAAGUAUAACCCCUCCCCCCAGUCAGCUGAAUAAUUCAUCAGCUGAUGUGGUGAAAGGUGGAGUAAACAGGUCUAUUGGCUAAUAUCCCCAGAGGUUUCCAGAGACAAGCGGGGGGGGGUGUGGCUACCCUCAUUUGGACUGAGAUUGACACUAAAACAGCCUGGACGGCUUCAGCAGCGACGGAUGACAUGUUGGUGACAGAAACCUGGAGGACUCCAGCAGAGAAAGAGAACAAGACAAUUCUGCUGGUUUCACUCCUCAGACGGUGAGGUUCAUGCUGAAGAACAAAGAUCAGAGUUUGAUGUUUGACUCCAACCAUCUGCUGCAGAACAAACCUCCAGAGGAGGACAGGAACACGUCUGACAGAGCUGUCAGAGUCAC